rnacentral:lncRNA from 1 species
AAGUAGUUGCUCGGUAGAUUUUCUGGAUGGAUGGAAAUCUAGAUGAAUAGAUUGAUGAAAAGAAGGGAUGGGUUGGUGGGUGGAUGUUUGGAUGAUGGAAGAACAGAUGAUCCAGUAGGAAGUAAGAAUAACUGCAGGAAUGAGAAAGUUGUGCUCCAUAAAUAUUUUCUGGAUAAUUGGAUGCACGGAUACGUUGGUGGCUGGGUGCAAUGAUGGGCGAAAAAGAAUACUUGAUUGGAGGUAAGCCUGGAUGAAGAGCCUCAAGUGGAGGGUUAGAAUUUCAGCUCCUCUUUCCCAGGGGGCGCUGCGGGGCCACUCGCACGGGCCUGGCCUGGCAGAGAGGCGCCGCUCUAGGCUGUAGCCGACGCGAGGCCGCAGUUCCGCAGAGACUGCGGAGCGAGAACUCAGUCCUCCUGCUCCGUCCCGGUCUACAGCCUGUACUCAUGCUGUGCUCUGUGUACCCUGCUGCCUUCCGUCCCGGCAUCCGGCUAAGUCACUCAGGGCGUGCUCUGCGCAAGGCUCCCAAACCUUGCUGUUGAGCCCAAUGGAAACUACCCUGUGGCGGCGCUGCCGGUUCUGCAACAGCCAGCGCCCCUGCUCUCCCCGCCCCACGGACCGGAUGUCCCGAGGUGACAACUUGGUGUAAAUGGGUCAUGAGAGGUGUCCAUCUUGCCAGGAAGCAGCUGGACCAUGGUGCUCCUGAGUGAGGUGUGUUCCCUGGAGGUUGGAGACUUCUGGAGAUUUCAACUGUGAUGUGGUCCAGAAAGCAGAUGGACCUUUGGGACCUUUUCUCAUCCUCAUUUUCAUCCACUAGAAAGCAGGGAUAUGAUGAGACAGGGUUUUUGGGGUCACAACUCCCUGUUUUCCCUCAAUGUAAGAACUUCUAUCAGCUAGCUAGCUUGCUUUCUUUCUUUCUUUCUUUCUUUCUUUUCUUUCUUUUCUUUCUUUCUUUCUUUUUUGUAGUUUAUUUGAGACACGGUCUCUCUUAUGUAGUUCAGGCUGGCCUUGAACUCACUUUGUAGCCAGGCUGGCCUCCAACCCAUGGCAAUACUCCUGCCUCAGGCUCCCAAGUGCUGGGAUUACAAGCAUGAACAUGCCUAGCUCUCCAACAGUUUUCUUUAGAGGUGUCUUUCUUUUGCCUCCCCUGUAGGGCCACGUUGAAGGAACUUUUGUAGAGUUAGAAACAAUUGUUGUGUCCUUGUGUUUAGUUGGGCUGGCUGCUCAAAGCUUCUGCCACUGGUCUCCUUUUAAAAAACAGCAAGCCCUCUGACCUUUUCUGCCCCUGCAUUCGUAAGUGAUCAGGGGGUGCCCAUUCCCUGGUCAUUGGUAUUGCAGGCAGAGGAAAUACGGAAAGAAUUGUCCUGUGUUUGGAGGGUCUGCGUGCUUGCCUUCCAGUGCUAGGAGCUUUCCCACACUCUUGCUUCUCAUCAUACAGCUUGGGCUUUGGAGCUGCUAUGUGAGCAUUACUGUCAUUGUUGGAACUUUCACUUCCUGCCCCCUGCUUUUGGGAACUAGGCCAUGUGUGUUGCUUAAGUUCCCCUUGACAGCCAGCAGAGUCACUACCACUCAGCCAAUCUGUGGUUAUGUAUUAAUCAGUAUUAGCUACCCUGCCAUAGGCCAUCUCUCUCUCUUUAGUUAACUCUUAUUUUCAUAAAGAAAUAUUGUGUUUGCUUAGGAAGUAAUAGUCACUGCGUUUGGAAUGCCUACUGUCUGGUAACUACUAUGUUAAUUCUUUUCCUGGUGGCUUUCAUGUCCAUGCUGCUGGAUGCUCACCAAUUAUUCCUGUCUCUUGCAGGUGUCCCGGAGUUGUCCUGUCAGGAACACCUUAGACCCCAGUGUCAUUGAGAGUUUUCAAUCCAUGGUCUGCUGGUUCCAUUGCUUUAGGGCCUAUGGCGAGGCAGAAAUGUCAUUGGCAGAAGGCCUGGUGGAGGAAAGCUGCUUACUUCAUCACAGCCAAGAAGCAGAGAAAGAAAGAAAAAGCCAUGGGGAGGACUUUGAGGUUGAGGGAUGCUGCGCUGGAACUGGAGAUUGCUGAAGGAAGGCCCUGGAAUAGAGGCACUGACCCUGUCAGGAUGAUGAAUGGGGUUCCUGCUCUGAAGGGAUCUCCUCAUGUUGGUUGUGGUGUUGAUUGUGGACACUGGCAUAGCAGAGUGAAGAGUGUCAUUGUCACACGACGCAUUCCAGACCUUAGUGCAGUGGCCUCAGCACAACACAGAGCACCUUUUUACUCUGCAUGAGCAAGCGGAGGGGAAGGCCUGGACUCUGAGGACUUGGGGUCCAGAGGUGGAGACCUUCCAGCUGGUUCUACCCCAUCCCAGCAGAGCCACAGAGCAUCAUAGACGGGAAGACCAGUCUUCCUUCAACUGGCCACCUCCCAGUCUUGCCUACUCCUGGUGUAACUUGUAGACCCAAGAGAUCCUGGUGAAGUUUUCUAUACCCUGCACAACCUCAAUAAAUUGUCCACCUCAAUAAAUUUUGAAACAUGCUGUGCUGUGUAUUUUUUGGGUUUUGUUUGUUUACCAAAAUACCCAUGUGUACCAGCUAGGCUGGGUAUAGAGAAGGUAGUCACAGGGUGAAUCUUCCAGUUUUCACUUACUGAGAAUUCCCACUUAGCAUGCUCCUAAGUGGGAUGUGACCUAGGGAAUUUGAGGUAGGAGGUAGGAUUUGGACUAGAGGUUGAACAAUGCCACAUGCAUCUGGGGGCUCAGGCUUAGGAGAGAAAGAGAACUGUUAAAACUAAGUUGCCUGAGCAACAUUUGGGCCAGGGAUUUGGAAGAGAAGAUGAUAAUGG